CCUACGGGAGGCAGCAGUGGGGAAUAUUGCACAAUGGGCGAAAGCCUGAUGCAGCAACGCCGCGUGGGGGACGACGGCCUUCGGGUUGUAAACCUCUUUUAGCAGGGAAGAAGCGAAAGUGACGGUAGGGGCAGAAGAAGCGCCGGCCAACUACGUGCCAGCAGCCGCGGUAAU
rnacentral:rRNA from 1 species